CUUCAGGCCCCGCACAAGGCUUGUGUUGUGAACCCGGCUAGGCGAGGAAUCGAGCAACCGUAGCGAUUACAACCUGUGUUGCGAUCAGGUCUGAAGCCA
rnacentral:SRP_RNA from 2 species